AGACCGCGGGAAGAAUGAGAAUGAAAACGUUAAAGCGUGGGAGAGAUCUGUGAAGGAGUGAGAAUGUUUUAUGUAAACGAAUGUGUGUACAUGGUGAAGGUCGCGGGAGGAGAGAUUUAACGAAGGCAUCAGUGAGUGAGGGAGAUCCACGAGAGCGAAGAAAUUUUAUGUGCAUGCGAGCGGUGUGUGAGGUCGGUGAGAGGGAGGAGAGUGAUUGUGUGAGUAUGAGAGUUAUGAUACUUGGAAUAAGACAUGAGAGGUAGAAGAAGAAGAAAAGCGGUGUGUGACGUCUGUGAGAGAGAUGAGAGUUCAGGGUUGUGCAUGGGGU
rnacentral:lncRNA from 1 species